GAACGGGUGAGUAACGUGGGCAAUCUGCCCUGCACUCUGGGACAACCCUGGAAACGGGUAAUACCGGAUAUUACCUUCACGGGCUGAGGUUCGAAAGUCCGGCGGUGCAGGAUGAGCCCGCGGCCUAUCAGCUUGUUGGUGAGGUAAUGGCUCACCAGGCGACGACGGGUAGCCGGCCUGAGAGGGCGACCGGCCACACUGGGACUGAGACACGGCCCAGACUCCUACGGGAGGCAGCAGUGGGGAAUAUUGCACAAUGGGCGAAAGCCUGAUGCAGCGACGCCGCGUGAGGGAUGACGGCCUUCGGGUUGUAAACCUCUUUCAGCAGGGAAGAAGGACGGUACCUGCAGAAGAAGCGCCGGCU
rnacentral:rRNA from 1 species